rnacentral:lncRNA from 1 species
GAGGGCCGUCGAUGGUAUACCGGCCUAAAAGUUCGAUCUCGAGAGCUUUGGCAGAGUCCUGAGAGUUUUUGCUCUCAGGGACCGGUCCCUGAUAGGAGAGACCGGUCCCCCCAGUGAACAGUGCUGCGUAGCCGGCAAGGCAACCGGUCCCUGGCAGUCGAGACCGGUCCCCGAGCGCGUCUGCGCGGGGAGAGAACGGUCCCGCGCAGGGAGAGACCGGUUCCCGAACGUUGGAUUUUCGGGGGCAGGUUGAGAGACCGGUCCCAGGUCGGGGAGACCGGUCCCUCUGGGCGAAAA